GUGAAUCAUCGAAUCUUUGAACGCACCUUGCGCUCCUUGGUAUUCCGAGGAGCAUGCCUGUUUGAGUGUCAGUAAAUUCUCAAUCCCUCCAGUUUUUGUUGCUGGAUUGGGGCUUGGAUGUGGAGGUAUUGCAGGCCUUGUAUAUAGGUCAGCUCCUCUGAAAUACAUUAGCGGAACCGUUUGCGAUCCGUCACAGGUGUGAUAAUUAUCUACGCCAGUGGGUUGCUCUCUGUUAUGUUCAGCUGCCAACUGUCUGCAAGGACAACCAAUUACUGAAUAUUUGACCUCAAAUCAGGUAGGACUACCCGCUGAACUUAAGCAUAUCAAUAAGCGGAGGA
rnacentral:misc_RNA from 1 species